rnacentral:rRNA from 1 species
GGGGAAUAUUGCACAAUGGGCGCAAGCCUGAUGCAGCGACGCCGCGUGAGGGAUGACGGCCUUCGGGUUGUAAACCUCUUUCACCAGGGACGAAGCGUGAGUGACGGUACCUGGAGAAGAAGCACCGGCCAACUACGUGCCAGCAGCCGCGGUAAUACGUAGGGUGCGAGCGUUGUCCGGAAUUACUGGGCGUAAAGAGCUCGUAGGCGGUUUGUCGCGUCGUCUGUGAAAUUCUGCAACUCAAUUGUAGGCGUGCAGGCGAUACGGGCAGACUUGAGUACUACAGGGGAGACUGGAAUUCCUGGUGUAGCGGUGAAAUGCGCAGAUAUCAGGAGGAACACCGGUGGCGAAGGCGGGUCUCUGGGUAGUAACUGACGCUGAGGAGCGAAAGCGUGGGGAGCGAAC